GAUUUUGAUGUUGACAUUCUACAUGAAACAACUCCUGCCAAAUGAGACGAAAAGGAAACACUUUGAUGCAUGUCAUAAAUGACGAAUUAAAUGAAGUAGAAUAAUGAUUUUGAUAAAUUUGUGAAAUGCUGAUUGUAUGGGCUGAUAAUAAAACUUAUUAAAUGAUUGCA